UACGUACUGUGCGAACGUUAUUCGGAAUCACUGGGCUUAAAGGGUGCGUAGGCGGUUUUUCAAGUCAGGUGUGAAAUCUUCAGGCUCAACCUGGAAAUGGCGCUUGAAACUGAGAGACUUGAGGCAGCUAGGGGUGUGUGGAACUUCCAGUGGAGCGGUGAAAUGUGUUGAUAUUGGAAGGAACGCCGGUGGCGAAAGCGACACACUGGGGCUGAACUGACGCUGAGGCACGAAAGCCAGGGGAGCAAACGGG
rnacentral:rRNA from 1 species